rnacentral:lncRNA from 1 species
AGCACAUAAAUGACUUAUUCGAUUAAAUGGAUUCUAAUUAGAUCAGCCAUCUCUUGACAUAAAGAAGAAAAAUCUAUUUUCUUUUUCUUUUCUUUUUUUUUGAGAUAGAGUUUCACUCUUGUUACCCAGGCUGGAGUGCAAUGGCACGAUCUCGGCUCACUGCAACCUCUGCCUCCUGGGUUCAGGCAAUUCUCCUGCCUCAGCCUCCUGAGUAGCUGGGAUUACAGGCAUGAGACAGGCACGUGCCACUGUGUCUGGCUAAUUUUUAAAACAAUUAUUUUAGAAAUGUGGGUAUUUCUAUGUUUCCCAGGCUGGCCUUGAACUCCUGGCCUCAAGUGAGUCUCCCAUUUUAGCUUCCAAGGCAUGGAGAUUAGACACGUGAGCCACUAAUCCUAGCCCAGGAUAUUAAGAAAUGUAUUUUUAAAAGAAUGCGGGUGCUGUGGCACCCAGAUGACUACUCUCAAAUGGCAUGGUUUCGUCUUUGACAGCCUGCUCCCAUCCUCGUGCAAACCACUUGCACCAGUUAAACUCUUGAGCUAGCUUGCUGACCCCCGAUCCUCAUUAAAAGAGCUUUACAAGCUUUUGGGGAGUGGGGUUCAAGGACACCAGGCCAAAAAACGCCCACGUCCAAGACCAC